UACGAAGGGGGCUAGCGUUGUUCGGAAUGACUGGGCGUAAAGCGCACGUAGGCGGCUUUGUAAGUUAGAGGUGAAAGCCUGGAGCUCAACUCCAGAAUUGCCUUUAAGACUGCAUCGCUUGAAUCAUGGAGAGGCGGGUGGAAUCCGAGUGUAGAGGUGAAAUUCGUAGAUAUUCGGAAGAACACCAGUGGCGAAGGCGGCCCGCUGGACAUGUAUUGACGCUGAGGUGCGAAAGCGUGGGGAGCAAACAGG
rnacentral:rRNA from 1 species